UACGUAGGGGGCGAGCGUUGUCCGGAAUCAUUGGGCGUAAAGCGCGUGUAGGCGGCUCGGUAAGUCUGCUGUGAAAGUCCAGGGCUCAACCCUGGGAUGCCGGUGGAUACUGUCGAGCUCGAGUCCGGAAGAGGCGAGUGGAAUUCCUGGUGUAGCGGUGAAAUGCGCAGAUAUCAGGAGGAACACCAAUGGCGAAGGCAGCUCGCUGGGACGUGACUGACGCUGAGGAGCGAAAGCCAGGGGAGCAAACGGG
rnacentral:rRNA from 1 species